GACGAACGCUGGCGGCGUGCCUAAUACAUGCAAGUCGAACGCAGUGGGGACGGUUGAGUAACACGUGGGUAACCUCCCAUCAGAGGGGAUAAAACUUGGAAACAGGUGCUAAACCGAUACUGAUGGAUGGCCCCGCGGUGCAUUAGCUAGUUGGUGCGGUAACGGCUAACCCAGGCCACGAUGCAUAGCCGACGUGAGAGGGUGCUCGCCCACACUGUGACUGAGAGAGGGCCCAGGCUCCUACGGGAGGCAGCAGUAGGGAAUCAGCGGCAAUGGACGAAAGUCUGACCGAGCAACGCCGCGUGAGUGAAGAAGGUUUUAGGAUCGUAAAACUCUGUUGUUAGAGAAGCGGUAUCUAACCAGAAAGCAACUGCUAACUACGUGCCAGCAGCCGCGGUAAUUC
rnacentral:rRNA from 1 species